CUACGGGGGGCAGCAGUGGGGAAUAUUGGACAAUGGGGGAAACCCUGAUGCAGCAACGCCGCGUGGAGGAUGACGCAUUUCGGUGUGUAAACUCCUUUUAUAUGUCAAGAAAAUGACGGUAGCAUAUGAAUAAGCACCGGCUAACUCCGUGCCAGCAGCCGCGGUAAUACGGAGGGUGCAAGCGUUACUCGGAAUCACUGGGCGUAAAGGACGCGUAGGCGGGUUGGAAAGUCAGGUGUGAAAUCCUACAGCUUAACUGUAGAACUGCACUUGAAACUUCUAAUCUAGAGUAUGGGAGGGGGAGAUGGAAUUAGUGGUGUAGGGGUAAAAUCCGUAGAUAUCACUAGGAAUACCUAAAGCGAAGGCGAUCUCCUGGAACAUUACUGACGCUAAGGCGUGAAAGCGUGGGGAGCAAACAGGAUUAGAUACCCUCGUAGUC
rnacentral:rRNA from 1 species